ensembl:processed_transcript
AUGUUUCACUGAAGCCUUUUGAGCAUGUGCAAGUCUGCAGCCAGACACUUUUGGAAGUAAACUACAACCCUGUUGUGCGUUUCAGGAAUCCAGCCUGGUGUUUAGGAGCUGUGGAUAAGAUUUCAGCACAUUCACCGGAUGGUCACAUCCAUUUAUUGUAGUUGGCUUUCCCAGGUCAAAUUCUAUCAGAAACGUGUGCUCCAGACUCCUGUGAACUUAAAUUGAUGUGGCUAAGAACAGAGUGUAGAAGUCCUGAAUGAAGGUGAAUAAAUUAUGUGGUCAAGCUCACCUUUUGAUAUACAUAGCUGCAGCAAGGUCUCUUGGUAAUUUCUAGCCAGAAAGAAGUACAUGACAGGAUCCAACACACCACUGACGCACGUCAAAGCUGAGAUGAAAGAAAGGUAACAGGGGAUAGGGAAGACAUUAGGGUUGCUGAGUGUGUCAGUGAGGGUCCGGACUCUCUUUAACAUGCUGUCCAGUUUGUGUGGCUCUUCUUUGAGGAACUUUACAGCCUCUACUUCAACCCUGAGCACUGAGCGCAUGCGGGACUGAAGAGCCGGAAACUCACCUGCAAAAAAAAUAAAUAAAUAAAAGAGGUUUCGCUAUCAA